rnacentral:lncRNA from 1 species
GUGGCCGUUGGAUCUAAACUAAAUCCAAAAGAUUUGAGAGAUUAUAAAUUGCAGAAGAAGACGACUAGAGCUCUUGAGUACAAGGGACGAAUUUGGUGAUGAUGAUGGAAGGAGACGCUCGAUAAAUUUUUUCGUCUUAUUUUUUAGGAUUUCUCUGCUCUCUGAUCCAUUACCAAAUUUUUUUCUUUUGUUGUGAUUUGGGUAUUAAAUUUCUUCAAAUUCUAGGGUUCUUCAUAUAUAUUUGUUUCUCCUGGUUUCAAUGGUGAAAGCUUAGAUCUUGAGCUAAGAUUUAAGAAAAUUUCAUCUUUCUUUCUUUCUUUUUUUUUUCAUUCUAAUUCUGGGGGCUUUUUUGUUUUUGUUUUUAUUCAUUCUUUAAACUGUUAAUUGAUUUUGUAAAACUAAUUCAUUUGAGGUUGAUUUAAAAACAAAAGGGGGUUCAAUUGUUUGUUUCUGGGAUCCUUCACCAGAUUAAUGGUGAAUUUUCUAAAGAAGAUAACAAUCAGACUCUUGAAAUGAUGAAGAGACCGAACCCGAGUUGGCCAUGGUGGUUAUUAGGAAGCAGAAAAGAGAAAGAAACUGAAGCUCUUAAGUUUCCUCCUACAAAGAUGAUAACUCGAGCUAAUAGUAAAGGAAGAGUUUAUAAAAGAAAGGAUCUUGAACUUGAGAGCUUCGGUUCGUCUGGCUCUGAAUCUGUAGCUGUUGCUGGUGGUGAUGGACCUGAAUGGUCUGUUGGAUGGACUGAGCCACAUGGACCUGAUUUCCAAAGUGAUGAUGAAGCAGAUGAUGGUGGUUUCUUAGUUCUGGUUCCUUGUUACAGAGCUCUUGUCGAAGGCUCUAGUAAUAAUAACCAGCUCUUGAGUGCUGUCAAGAAUCUACCCAGCGGGUUUCCUCCUGGUAUGAACUGUAAUGAUCACCCCUGAUUUGUGUUUAUUGGUUUGAUAGAUUGGAUAAUGCUUUUGUGUUUGGUGCUCUAUCUUACUUGCUCGGAAUCUUUAUUCAUAUCCAUAUAAUCAUGAGAAUGACAAAAAGUAGUAUGUUUUUUUUUGCGGUUUUGUUUUAGGUUAGUUGCUCUCUUAGAGAGUUACCUUUUGCUAUUUGAUGGCCCUGUGCAAUGAAUGAUCCAUGUUUCUACAUGUUUUGUUUAAAUCCAAAGGUCAAACUUUUCUGAUUCAGUUUGAUUUUCUUUCUAUUGAAUGUACAGAUGGGAAGAAUUACAUGGAGCAAUGGCUUUCAUCUCUGCAGAACCUUUGACCAGGUCUCUUUCCUUUGUAGUUAGUUAGUGGUAGUUUUAGUUUUGUCUAAUUCGUGCUGAAGAAUCAUUUUGGUUUACUACAUUAAUCCUGAACACUCAAAAAAAAAAAGGAGAAAAAAGGGAAAAGAAAAAGAGAGAACAAAAAAAAGAAAGGCGCAAGUAGUUUUAUAAGGUUUAGAUUAAGAUGAUGGGGUUUGCUUACAUUGAUCCUGGAUAUGGAUCAAGCCAAACAAAAAAAAAAAAAAAAAAAAAAAAAAAGAGUAAGAAAAAUGAAGUGUAUGAUUGGAAAAGCUAUGGAGAAGAAGCAGCUUUAGCCUUGACCCUUGAGUGUUCAUAGGAAGAUUGAUUACAUUCAGAGAAAAGAGGGUGGAGAACAAGUUACAUUGAUCCUGGAAAGAAAGGAAUAAGGGUGGAAUAAACAGACAGUGCUUCAAGGAUUCAUAUCAAGAUGCUCAAAUUGAUGGUGUGAAUGGGAUUUAUUAUCCAACUGAGAUGGGAAAUUCAUGUAGAGUCUUUGUAAAUACCAAAAUUAAAAGAAAAAAAAAAGAGUGAUGUAUUUACUCUUUGUCCUGUAUCAUAACCUCCUGAAGGCUGAGGUAGAAGUGAUUGGAGAUUGAUUGUAUUUGUAUGUAAAUAUUAACUACCACUGAUCUUUCUUUUUUGUAUAUAGACAACAGUCCUGCCAUUGUAACUCUCUGUAUUAUAUAUUGAAUUGGGAAAGCAGGAAGAAUUUCUCUAAAUUAUGAAUUUUCAGAUUCUUAGUAAUAAGAAAGAGACAUCAAGUAUGGUGCUUUGGAUCUAUUAGUGUUAUGAUUUCAAGAUUUCUUAAAAGAAACAGAGCACAUCUACAUCGAUGGGUCAGGAGAUUCAGGAUUCUGGGGGUCCAUAUUUUUCGGAAUUUUGGAAGGUAUAUCAUUACGCAUCCACCGUCAAUUAGUAAAAAAUAUCAUUAAGCAGCUAAUGUUGAAUACUUAGUCUUAAAGCAAGCUUUUCAUUGCUUUAAAAUUAAAAUUAAUCAUGGUUAUACUGUAAUACAGUAUUUUCGUACAUAAUGAGGGUAGUUUAGUCAUAUAAUUGGAGGUAGAGACAAAACCGCUGAUGUCGACAGGAGUGAGAAAAGAGAAGUAACGACGCUCUCUGUUUCUCACUUGAGAGCCAAAAAGCUAGCCAGAAAAAGGAAGUAAAAGAAGAAGCUGGAAAAUGAACUUAACUUAAAAGUUCAGCUCAGAUCACAAGCUCCUAGUCUCUCUUAAAUCUUAAAGCUUUGAGUAUUUUUGGAAACAAUGGAGUCCGGGUCGGGUUUGGAUCCGGGUGGUGGUAAUAAGGGUAAAGGAAGUAGCGGUGGUAAUGGCGAGAGAAAGUUCGGUGCUUUCUUGAAGAGAGUAGAACCCUUUUUACCUAGAAAGGAUUUGAAUCCGAGAGACUUAAGAUCUUGGGCCAAAAAAACUGGUUUUGUCUCCGAUUACUCCGGUGAAACCAGCACGAGUACUCGUACCAAGUUUGGUGAAAGCUCUGAUUUUUAUCCGCAAAAAGGUAGAGAUCAAACAGUCCCUCCUGGGUCGUCUCAUAAAACCGAGAUCGACCCCAUUUUGGGACGAAAUAGACCCGAAAUCGAACACGUAACCGGAUCAGCACCCGGUUCUGAGCCCGGGUCUAGAGUAGAGGAAGAGAGGAGACUGAACCGGAAUGAGCCAACGUCGGAGACGGAGUAUGAAGGCGGGAAACUCAAUAAGGAUUUGGAAAAUGGGUUUUACUAUCCAGGCGGUGAGGAAUCAACAGAAGAUAGGCAAUGGCCUAAACCCACUGUGAUGAAGUUCGGUCUUAGAGACAAUCCUGGAUUUGGUUAGUUUUCAAUCUCCGCUUCGUCAACGGUUACAUUUUGUGUUACGUAGAAUAAAGGAACAUUACUUUCAAACACAUGGUAAUGAAAGAAUUUAUUUUUGUUGAAUUUGAAAUUGAAAUGCAGUUCCACUUAUUUAUUACGGUCUACAACACUAUCUGUCACUUGUUGGUUCACUUGUGUUUAUUCCUCUGGUCAUUGUACCAGCCAUGGAUGGUUCCGAUGUAAGCUUCUUCUUCUUCUUCUUCCAUGGAUACUUAACUUGGGAAACUUUGUUGUUUUGUUCUUGAUUAGUGUUUGACCUUUUAUGAUGAUAGAAAGAUACUGCCGCAGUGAUUUCAACAAUGCUGCUUCUUACUGGAGUUACAACUAUACUUCACUCUUAUUUCGGUACUCGGCUUCCGUUGGUUCAAGGAAGCUCCUUUGUUUACUUGGCCCCAGUUUUAGUUAUCAUUAACUCUGAGGAGUUCAGGAACCUCACUGAGCAUGUAUGUUUACAAAUAUAAAUCAGAAAGGAGGGUUUUGAGUUCUUGGAACGUUACGAUAAUCUGGUGUUUCAAUUCCGCGCAGAAAUUUCGGGACACAAUGAGAGAACUACAGGGAGCUAUAAUUGUUGGUUCAUUAUUCCAGUGCAUAUUGGGAUUCAGUGGUCUCAUGUCUCUCUUUCUUAGGUAACUCUAGAAACUGCUGUUUCUUGGUUUAGUUACACCUCACAGAUAUCACAUUUUCUUCUUAAACUCUAUUUUCAGAUUUAUUAAUCCUGUCGUAGUGGCCCCAACUGUAGCUGCAGUAGGAUUAGCAUUCUUUAGCUAUGGAUUUCCGCAAGCCGGUACUUGUGUUGAGAUAAGCGUUCCCUUGGUACUUUUGCUUCUCAUUUUCACUUUGGUAAGAAACUGCCUCAGCUUGAAUAAUAGAAGCAUAUUUCUAUCUCUUUGAUAAAGUAUCUCUUUUCAUCUAACUUCUUUUCAGUAUCUCCGUGGAGUUUCACUCUUUGGGCAUCGCUUAUUCCGAAUUUACGCAGUAUGUGUUUAUCCUUUGUAUACGUGAAGUGUCAAGUUUCAAACCUUUUUUCGAGGAAUCAGGCCUUUGCUUUUGCUAUUAUGUUGCCAGGUGCCACUGAGUGCUCUGAUCGUAUGGACAUAUGCAUUCUUUUUAACUGUUGGUGGGGCAUAUGAUUACAGAGGCUGCAACGCCGACAUACCGAGCUCUAACAUAUUGAUAGAUGAGUGUAAGAAGCAUGCAUAUACUAUGAAGCAUUGCAGAACAGAUGCUUCAAAUGCUUGGAGAACUGCUUCUUGGGUCAGAAUCCCUUACCCAUUUCAAUGGGGAUUUCCAAGUUUUCACAUGAGAACUUCUAUCAUUAUGAUAUUUGUGUCUUUGGUUGCAUCAGUGGAUUCGGUAGGUACUCUUUCCUCGUUGCCAUUCCUUUUUUCCACCCCUAAAGGUGUGAUCUUGCUGUUAAAAUGUUGGUAUUGGUGCACUUGUAGGUUGGAACAUAUCAUUCUGCAUCUAUGUUAGUGAAUGCUAAGCGCCCAACCCGGGGAAUUGUCAGUAGGGGUGUUGCAUUAGAAGGUUUUUGCAGUUUAUUGGCUGGGAUCUGGGGUUCAGGAACCGGAUCAACCACUUUAACUGAAAAUAUUCAUACAAUCAACAUCACCAAGGUGGCUAGCCGAAGAGCUUUGACGAUAGGAGCUAUGUUCUUAAUAGUAUUGUCAUUUUUAGGUAAGCACCAUCCAACGAAUGAUCCAAAGUUUAAAUUAUUUGUCAUAUCAUUUAAUCCAUUUUGUGAAUUUCUUUGAAACUUGACAGGAAAAUUAGGCGCGAUUCUUGCUUCAGUACCACAGGCGUUGGCUGCUUCAGUAUUAUGCUUUAUAUGGGCACUUACAGUGGCUCUAGGUCUAUCGAAUCUCCGAUAUACACAAACAGCAAGCUUUAGGAACAUAACAAUAGUUGGAGUCUCACUGUUUCUUGGAUUAUCCAUCCCUGCUUACUUCCAGCAGUACCAGCCGCUAUCCAGUCUAAUACUACCAAGCUAUUAUCUGCCCUUUGGAGCCGCGUCAAGCGGACCAUUCCAAACGGGUAUCGAGCAAGUAAGCCACUUUCCUUUCAUUGCAUCGAUUGGCAUUUUCUUGGACAAUGAAUGACUGACUCUCUUCUUGCAGCUUGAUUUUGCGAUGAACGCAGUGCUAUCUCUUAAUAUGGUUGUAACCUUUUUAGUGGCUUUUGUACUGGACAACACUGUACCGGGUAGUAAGGAAGAGCGAGGAGUAUAUGUGUGGACAAGAGCCGAGGACAUGGAGAUGGACCCUGAGAUGCAAGAUGAUUACUCAUUGCCAAAAAAGUUUACUCAGAUUUUUGGUUGCAGUUGUUGUUAAGUAGAUGUUUUAGCUCUAAUUUCAGUUUCUUCGAUAUUUUCUUCGAUAUAUAUGGAAGAAAAAUGUUAUCAUGAAAAGAAAGAAUUGCAGGUUUGUGGGUGACAAUCAUCGUAGUGAUAGUCCCCUAUAGUGUUGAGUUUGCGUUUGUGAACCCUAUAAAGAAACUAACUGACAGGAUGAAAACAGAGUAUACAUACACAAAAAUAAUAUAUUUUCCUCAAAAGAAUGAAAUGUUGUUGAUCCGUGUUACUGUUAUAAGCUAUGAUAUUAAAACUUACAAGAGGUGUACAUGCUAGCUUUUUUUUUUGGCUUGGGACCGUAUCUACGCGGUUGAAGAAAAAAGAAAAAAAAAGAAAAAAAGAGUCCUCUAUCAGUACUUGAUGACGUGGUGGCGUAACCAUAGUUCAUACAUGAUCAUGUGAAAUGCGUCAAAUCUGACAGGAGGCGAGUUCCACUGAAAAUGCUUUUGCACCUGCACAAUAACAAAGCCUCAGCUGUCUUGAUGAGCUCACUUUGUAUAGAACGUUGAAGAAAAGGGUGAGAAUUUUACCUUCACCAAGUUGUUAUGUAACGAGACAAACUCAGACUGAGGUAUGUUCUUGAGGAUCUGCUUAAGGUUAUAGACAUCCCGCUCUCUGAGUACAACCGCGAAUUUUCGCCAAUCUAGGAUGUCGUUGAAAGGGAGGUCGUAGUAGUCUGAUAAUAUGACUGUCCAAAGAUAAAAUCGACAGAAUAACAAAAUGCAUUAUUAUUUCAGUUUCUUUGAAGGUAUAGCGUUCUGAUGAGUGCAGAAAGAGUAUAAGAACAUGUACCAGGGAUACAUCCAUAAUGAAUCGAGUCAGUUAUGCGAGCGCUGUUGACUUGAGAACCGCCAGGGCAUAUGCAGAAUUUAGUCCUGUAGAAUCUCUUCUGAUACACUAAAUGCCCUGUAGCCCUGUUAAUUCUGUUGUUUGAUAUAUCAAGUUCUGUAUCGUUUUCCCACACACGGGCAAGUAUUACCCGUAUCUUGGAAUUUCGAUGACCAGCCCAAAAACCAAGGGUUGUCCUGUAACAUCGAAGUUUAACAAAAUUAGUAACAUUGAGGAUGCGACUGAUAAAUCAAGCUACAGAUUGAGAUAAAGAAUGACAAGAAAAUGAGUUAACAAUAAAACUCCACUAUCAAAUUAGUUUAAGAACCUUUAAAAGCCUCUCUCGCCAAUCACAAGAUUCAGCCAUUCUAAAUUAUUUGUAUCCAAGGGGAAUUAAACAGCAAAGCUAUAAACUUUGAAAUACAGAGCAUCUAAUCGAAGAGAGAGGACUAGUGAUAUUUAUCUUCCGACAACUGAAUGCAAAAUGACACGAAGAAAAAAAGACAAGAGGCCUAGUUUACCGAUUUUCAACAUCAUUGCCACCAGCAGGGAGUGCAAAUGGCUGAAGAACUUGAGGCAAAGCAACAUCUUUGUGAGGAAUAAAACCUACAUUGUAGCUCGGUGAGCACACAACCCUAAUUGUAUUCUUAAUCAGAAGCGGAGAUCCCUCGAAUGCUCUAACACCAACGUCGUGACAGGUGACAAAGAAGUGAUCAGCUCCCAAGGUUCUAUUCCAAUAAGGGUACUUAGCUAUCAAUCCAUCAACAUAAUCUUGAACAAUCACAGUCAUGUUUUCAUAUGAUGUUCCCUGCAACAAAACACCAUCAAAUCAAUCAUCAUCAAAAAUUGCCCCAAAAAAUCAGAGCUAAUUCCCAAAUUUCAUCUUUCUAAAUCCUAAUAUCAUGGAAUUGCAAUUAUCAGUGGAUCGAAGUCUGAAAAAAUCUUACUUUGCCUCGCAUCUUGUGACAAGAGAUUGGAAUGAAGAAGAGAUCCGCCUCAUCUGGAUCUAGGGUUCGAAAUCGGCUCUCUCUAAUGUUCUGAAAGAAGUAACCCUCACUAGCAUAUUUACCGGUCACUUUCCUCGGCGUCUGAUAAAACGUGUUUGGAUCGCCGUCGGGAUAAAUAUAAACCUUGAAUCUCUUCUCCAUCUCGGCGUAAUUCAGUCGGAAAGCUUCCGGCGAGUGAUAAACAUCGGAAUAAUUUUCUUCUUCCGCCGUCGGUGCUGCGCCUUCGUCGUUGUUAUCGGUAUUACCUUCCUUCGCAAAGGUCUGAGGAACAUGAAUCGGCGUUACAACGACCGGAGACGGCGGCGAAGUGCGCAAGGAAUUGAGAGAGAGGUAGAAAAGGGAAACGAAAGUGAGAACAGCGACGGUGAGGAGUGAGCCUUUGAGUGAACAUAACGGCGAAGAUCCGCCGCCGGAGAACUGCGACGGUUUAACGAUCGUCAUCGUCGGGUCGGAUCUAAAGCUCUUUCAGAUUGAAUCAAUCAAUCUCUCUGCAUUUAGCUCUUUUAGCUGUCUUUUGUGUGUGAGCUCACAUGCUUAUUUUUGUGGGUUUUUUUUUUUUUUACUUUAAACUAUUUUUAUAUUAUUGUGUCUUAAUUCUCUUACUCAUAUUAUUUUUGUUUAUGAAUCAAUCAAUUUGUUUUAAUAGGUUUAAAAAAAUAUAAUUACGAUAAAUUUCUGAUUGCAAUCUGGACUAAUCAAUCAAUUAGGUUUUUUUUUUACUUCUUUUACAUUUGUGUUUGGAUAUUGGCUAUUUCAUGGUUAUUAAUCUUUACCAUAAGAAUGUUUUUAAAAAAUAAAAAUAAACAGAAAAGUGUGUUAUGGACUAGACCAUUCUGUUGUUGAAACAAAAUCAUCUAGUAUAAUUAUGUACGGAUUCUAAAUACUACAAUCAUACAAUUAUUUACAUUUUCAAAUUGUUUGUCACCUCAUUUAGUUCAUGCAUCCAAUACGAACGUUACAACUUUGUGUAUGCAUUAUGUAACAAAAAAAAAAAGACGAUAAAAGAAACAUUCUUAAGAAAAAUUAUAACUUAAAAAAAUUUUUUUUUAACUUUUUCUGUGUUAAAGGAAAAUUUAAUAAUUAAUAAUUGUUUCAUUAGGAAAACCUCCACUUAAAUUUUUUCAUUAGGAAAACUUCCACUUUUUAUAUACAUGUACCUCCGUAUAAAAAAAAGGAAAUUUCAGAAACUAAAUCUUUUUACGUAAUCUUUGUAUGAAUCUAAGUCGCCAUAUUAGAUUAAUUUCUAAUGUUGAUCAGAAGUCAAAGUAACUCCUAGUUAGGUUUUGGUGCACCUAUCUAUUCCCGUUUAGUCUUGGACUUUGUUUAACAAAUUAAAACCCACACACUCGCAUAUAUAAAUAUGCAUACAAGCAAAGAUCUUUUUCCUUAGUUUCUUUACGUUAAUUAUUUAUAUCGAUCUGAAGAUUUUGAAAGAAAGAAAGAUGGCUUCGCAGAAGAAGAAGAAGAUAGCUUCCUUAGUUUUUUGUUUCCUUCUGUUGUUUCUUCUUCCAAUCGCCUUUUCUAAGCCAACAAGGUCAGUUUAUUUCACUGUUCUUCAUAUGUUACAGCCAAACAUGUAUAUACAUGUGUUGUUUCUCAAUUCUCAUACAUAUUUCGUUGUUUUUUUUGUUUGCUAAGCAUGUGAUUCUCGUGUGAGUUUCGUAGAUAUUUUAGAUUUUGACUCAGAAAAUUUGAUUACCAGAAAGACUCUUUGGAUGCAUAAAAAAAAGAUGUAUUACGUGUGUAUAUAUAUGCUCUUAGCUUGGAUUUGUGUAGUAACUUGUAAGAGUCGAUCUUGUUUUUUAAGGUUACAAUUUCUUAUAUAUAUCAUAACAUUAGAAACAAAUUCAAACCUCCCUCUUUGCGUUAGAGUUAACUUAAAUUAAUUUUUUGUAUGUACACUAAGGGUAAUGCAUUGACUCUAUUUAUGCAUAACUGUUAAUUUGUUAUGAUUCUUCAGGAACUUGGAUGGAAGAGCUCCAACAGUGCAGCAGAUUAAAAACAGACAUGGGACUCGAGAGGUAUGGAUUUAAUGAUGAUAUACAAUAUUUUUCUUGAUCAGUAAUCAAAAGAUUAUAUAUAUGCUAAUAAUAAUGUUUGGAUUAUAUAUGCUAAUGUUUUGUAUAUAAAAAAAAAAAAACUAAACCUAGGUGAUAGUGGACAAUGGGAUUAUCAGAGUCAGUUUCUCAAGCCCUGAAGGACUUGUAACUGGGAUCAAAUACAAAGGGAUCGAUAAUGUUCUCUCUCCACAUCUCCGAGCUCGAGGGUGAUUAAUUUUUCAAUAAACUAGUACUACUUAGUAAUUAAUUAAUUUUAUUAUUAUAUAACAAAAGCUUAUGUUAUAUAUACAAGUACAUAAACUUGUCCUGGUUUAAUUAAUUUGAUUUAAUGUAGGUAUUGGGACAUAAUGUGGCAAGGAGAAAACAUUCGCCAGGGCGGCUUAGAUCGGUAAUUAACUACAGUUUAGUUAAUACUUUGUCUGUUUUGUCAGUUCAAAACUAAUUAACAAAACAAAACACACGUUCACAAUUAUAGAGCAUGUACUUAUAUUAGGGUUUAUAAAUUAUUAUUUUCAUGGUAAUUGUUAUGUCUGGCUAAAUCCUUUUAAUUUUAUACACAUUUAUCUGGGUAUAUUUUUUUGGGUUCAGAAUCGAAGGAACCAAAUUUAGAAUCAUCACUCAAACGGAAGAACAAGUGGAGAUUUCGUUCUCUAGAACAUGGGAGGGUGUUGGUUCUGAUCAUAUUCCAUUAAACGUAGACAAGAGGUAUAUCAUACGUGCAAAUACUUCAGGAUUCUACACUUAUGGAAUCUUCGAGAGACUUCCCGAGUGGCCAGAACUCGAGAUGGGUUUAAUUCGAAUCGCUUUCAAACUCAACCCAGAGAGGUAUCAUCUUAUGUCAUUCCAGUACUGUAGUGUUUUAUUAUAUAUAUACAAGAAGAAAGUUUAUCUAAACUGUAGCAAAAUGUAUUUGUAAGAUUCCAUUACAUGGUGGUGGCGGAUGAUCGGCAAAGAGAAAUGCCAACGGAGGAUGACCGUGACAUCAAUCGUGGCCAUGCCAAGGCUCUUGCUUAUAAAGAGGCUGUACAAUUGACUCAUCCUCACAACUCGAUGUUCAAAAACCAGGUUAACUAUUCGUUAUCCAUAUACAAUAUUUGCAUAUUUUCUAAAGUUACAUGUUAAAUUGUUCUUGCACCCGAGUCUUGAUUGUUAAUUUGAAUAUGAUAUUUAAUUAGGUGGAUGACAAGUACCAGUACACAUGUGAGAUCAAAGACAACAAGGUGCACGGUUGGAUCUCACCCAAGUCCAAUGUCGGCUUUUGGAUCAUCUCACCGAGCGGCGAAUAUCGCUCCGGUGGACCGAUCAAACAAGAGCUAACGUCUCACGUCGGUCCUACUGCCAUAUCGGUAAGGAGAUCCACCCAAAGCCAAUCAGCAAAAAGAAUAUUACAUUUUAAGUAAAUAGUAUUAAUCUUUAGUUAAUAUAUGUAGACAUUUAUAAGCGGACAUUAUGUUGGUGCGGACAUGAAGACACAUUACGAAACUGGUGAAGCGUGGAAAAAGGUCUUGGGUCCUAUUUUUAUUUACUUAAACUCUGACGACUCUACCGGCAAUGAUCCACGACAUCUAUUAUGGGAAGAUGCCAAACAACAGGUUAAUAUAUAAUUUUUUUUUUUGGUAAAACAUGUGAAGAAUAUAUAGCAUUUAUUUUCCAUAAAUUAUAAGUAAUUUACAAAGAAGAGACGCUAAUUUUUUUUUGUUAUAUUAAUUUUCCAGUCCGAAAAAGAAGUCAAAGCCUGGCCGUACGAUUUUGUAGCAUCCUCUGACUUUCCUACUCGUCAAGAAAGAGGAACCGUCACUGGUCGUCUCCUAGUCAACGACAGGUAUUAAUUAUUCUUUAAACACAAAUCCAACUUUUAUUUAUUUUUAUCUUUUUGAUUGAUUGAUACAGUAUUUAUCUUUAAUUUUUGACAAAAAAAAUUUUUUUUAGAUUCUUGACGUCGGGAGGAUCUGCAUAUGUCGGUUUAGCACCACCGGGAGAAGCUGGUUCGUGGCAGACAAAUACUAAGGUUUGUUAUUAGUUAUUACACUUUGGUCUAUCUUCUUUGAACUUUAAUGUAAUUUACUGAAUAAUCGAUUGCAUGUACACUGUUGAUUGUUGAUUCUUUCUUCAGGGAUAUCAAUUUUGGACAAAGACUGACGAAACCGGUUACUUCACGAUUGAUAACGUUAGACCGGGAACUUACAAUCUGUAUGGAUGGGUUCCUGGUUUUAUCGGGGACUUUCGAUACCAAAACCGUGUUGACGUAGCUGCAGGUUCAGAGAUUAGUCUUGGUAGAGUUGUGUACGAGCCACCUAGGAACGGUCCGACGUUAUGGGAGAUUGGUGUACCAGAUCGAACCGCCCGAGAAUACUUUGUACCAGAGCCAUACAAGACUACAAUGAACCCAUACCUAAACCACACUGACAAGUAAAGUCUCUAAAUCUCUUAAAUCCAGUUCACAAACCCGGUUUGGGGUCUGAUAGUGUUCCGGUUUGAUUUUUAACAGGUUUAGGCAGUACGGCUUGUGGCAACGAUACACAGAGUUGUAUCCAAAUCAUGACCUCGUCUACACAAUUGGAGCUAGUAACUAUAGUCAGGACUGGUUCUACGCUCAUGUCACAAGGUUAGAAGUUACAUUAAUACAAAAAAAGUCUGAAACUUUCAGUGAAUUCUUGAAUAGACAUUAAUUUUGAUUCGCUUGUUCUGCAGGAACACCGGCGAUUUAACUUACGCACCAACGACAUGGCAGAUAGUGUUUCAGCUUCCAUACGUAAACUGGGGAGGCAGCUACACAUUGCAGUUAGCUUUAGCCUCGGCGUCACGGGCUAAUUUACAAGUUCGGAUCAAUAACCAAAACUCGUGGCCGUUGUUCUCAACAGGUAAUAUUGGAAAAGACAAUGCUAUAGCAAGACACGGAAUCCAUGGCAUGUACCGGCUUUAUAGCAUCAGUGUGCCUGGAAGGUUGCUAAGAACCGGAACCAACACGAUUUAUCUUCGACAAGCUAAAGCACAAGGACCAUUUGAAGGUCUUAUGUAUGAUUACAUUCGUCUAGAAGAGCCUUCUAGAGAUUAGAAUCAUAUAGUCAUUAGUCGUUAGGACUUGGUUUUUCCUUUUUUUUUUUUUUAACACUAUGGUUAGGAGAUUAUAGUUGUAUAGAUCAAAAGGAUUUUUGAGAUUUACUGACUUUAUUCUAUUUUUAAAAUAUUUUUUAAGAAAUUGAUUUGAAUUUUGAUUGUUAUGAUUAGCACUACUUAACAACAUUAUAAGAUUGAUAAAUGUUCAAGCUUAUAUGUGGUUUUCAAAAACCGGAACAAGAUUGAAGCAUGAACAAGAAAAUGCCACCAGCAACAGAGACGUUAAGAGAUUCAAAUUCACCUGCCAUGGGAAUGCUCACAAGCUCGCAUACUUUCCGUGACUGCUCAGACAAACCAUUCCCUUCACUACCUAAAAUCAAGCAUAAAGGCUUCCCUGCUACAGACUGAGCAAACUCUUGGGAAAGUCUGGACAGGGGUUUUGGUUUCUGAGUCGUAGUUGAUGGAUGACCAGCUAAUAGUUUCAUCUGGAACUCAUGUUCUAGAAGCUUAAGGUGGUUCCAGUUGCCGGAAACUAUAGGCAGUUGAAACGAAGCACCUCGGCUUGCUCGAAGAGCUUUGUCGUUGAACGGAUCGCAGCAACCAGGAAGCAGAAAUGCACCAUCCUAUCAUAAACAUUAGCCAGAGUAAGAUGAUUCUCUCAUUAGAGAUUUAUCUCCAAAUCAACAGCUAAUGAACUGAGAAGAAAGGCUGAUCAUUUAUACCCAAUUAAAAGCCAUAGCUGAUCUGAUUAAUGUGCCAAGGUUCCCCGGGUCCUGUAUGCUGUCAAGAACAAGAACUCGGUGAGCAGAAGGGAACCAUUUACUGCAGUCUCUUACGAUGUCUUGAUCAUCUUUAAGAUCAACGAAGCUGCUAGGGAUUCUCAUCAGGGCAAUGGCUUCAACAGAUUCAGUAGAUUGCACUCCAGAGAGUUUCUUCAUCACCAAAGAACUUACUCGAACAAUUCGGAUACUUAGACUCUCUAAUCCUUGUGGAACCUGAGAUUCCUCGUGGAGAAGUAGACACUCAAUUUCAGUUGUGAUUCCUAGCUUAUUCUCUUGAAAGAUACAUACUUCCCUGUGAACAAUGCAUUAAAGUUAUCUCCUUUGAACCCAUUUUCACAAGAAACAAAUCAAACACAAAAUGAAGUAAAAAAAGUAGACUACUUCCCUCAGUCAUCUUAGUAUAAAUCAAGAAACAGAGAGUACAAGGUCACUGAUAUACAUACCUAAUUGGGAUAGCUCCGACGACAAGAACAGAGCCAUGAGCGUGGCGAUAAGAGGAGCUUUGGCGGAGCUUCAGACAGUGUUUGACAAAAGGGUUUGAAGUGCUGGUAAUGGAAUUCACAUGAGACGGCAGCGAAACUCUAAUCUCCGGAGACUUAUCUAAACUGUUAAUAAGAAUAUCAUCUGAAGGGUUUAUCCGAAUUUGGGUUUUUGGAAAUUGAGCUGACGAAGCUCGAAGCUUUGAAACUGAAGGUCUGAACUCAAAUAAGAUACGUGGUGACAGAGGUUGUGAAGCGAAAGCACAUCCGCAAUGCAUUGCCGUUUGCAACUAAUCCGAUUUCUCUUCUUCUCCGGUGAAGCCAAGGCGGAGAAGAUGACUAAAAGGCCUUAGAGUUUCAUAUUUCGUACAAAAGCCCAAUAUAUUAAAAAGAGUUAGGCCCAGUAAAAAGCCCAUUAAGCGAUCGUUUUAACGGUAAACUCUCUUCGUCAUUCUCUGGUUCUACCUUCGCUUCUUCUUCAUCUAUGAAUCUGCAAAUUUGGUUCUUUCGUGUUUGUUCUGUGAAUCCAACUCGUUUUACAAAUGUGGAUUAACAUAAUUGUUUGAUGAUCACUAUAUGCGGCCGAAUUUGUGAUGCAUUUAACGGAGAAAUCAGUUCUUCUGGAAUUGAUCAGCCGAUGCAGCUCCCUUCGUGUUUUCAAACAGAUACAGACUCAAUUGAUUUCUCGUGAUGUUAUUCGUGAUGACAUAGUCGUCAACAAAGUCGUCACCUUUCUGGGCAAAUCCGCAGAUUUUGCAUCUUACAGCUGUGUAAUUCUCCACAGUAUCCGUUCUGUGUUGAGCUCGUUUCCAUACAAUACACUUUUAUCGAGCUACGCAGUCUGCGAUAAACCAAGAGUGACGAUUCUUGUUUACAGAACAUUUGUGAGUAACGGCUUUUCACCGGACAUGUUCACGUUUCCUCCAGUUUUCAAGGCAUGUGGGAAGUUUUCAGGGAUCGGAGAAGGGAAGCAGAUUCAUGGAAUCGUCACGAAGAUGGGGUUUUCAGAUGAUAUCUAUGUGCAAAACUCGCUUGUUCAUCUGUAUGGAGUGUGCGGGAAUUCAAGGUAUGCAUGUAAAGUGUUCGAUCAAAUGCCUGUGAGAGAUGUAGUUUCAUGGACUGGUAUUAUAACUGGUUUCACGAGGACUGGGUUGUAUAAGGAAGCUUUAGAUACGUUUUCAAGGAUGGAUGUUGAGCCUAAUUUGGCUACAUAUGUUUGUGCGUUGGUCUCGAGUGGGCGGGUAGGGUGUUUAAGUUUAGGGCAAGGAAUCCAUGGAUUGAUUUUAAAAAGGGCAUCUUUGAUCAGCUUAGAGACUGGUAAUGCUCUUAUAGAUAUGUAUGUGAAAUGUGACAAAUUGUCUGAUGCGAUGAGAGUUUUUGGUGAAUUGCAAAAGAAAGAUAAAGUUUCUUGGAAUAGUAUGAUUAGUGGGUUAGUUCAAUGUAAAAUGCCUAACGAGGCGAUUGAAUUGUUUUCUCGGAUGCAAACGUCUUCGAGUAUAAAGCCAGAUGGGCAUAUACUUACAAGUGUUCUCUCUGCUUGUGCUAGCUCGGGAGCUGUGGAUUACGGAAGAUGGGUUCAUGAAUAUGUUGUAAGCGCUGGAAUUAAAUGGGAUACAUAUAUUGGAACUGCUAUUGUUGAUAUGUAUGCAAAAUGUGGCUGCAUCGAAACAUCUUUGGAGAUUUUCAAGGGAAUCAGAAGUAAGAAUGUCUCUACUUGGAAUGCUCUGUUAGGUGGUUUAGCUAUCCAUGGACAUGGACAUGAGUCCCUCCAAUAUUUCGAAGAAAUGGUUGACCUCGGUUUUAAACCGAACCAGGUAACUUUUCUUGCGGUUUUAAACGCGUGUUGCCACACGGGUUUAGUGGAUGAAGGGAGAAAAUAUUUCCAUAAGAUGAAAACCAGAAAGUACAAUCUAUCUCCUAAGCUAGAGCAUUAUGGAUGCUUAAUUGAUUUGCUCUGUAGAGCUGGAUUAAUAGAUGAAGCACUAGACCUCGUUAAAGCAAUGCCGGUUAAACCAGAUGUGCGUAUAUGCGGAGCAAUUCUUAGUGCCUGUAAGAGUAGAGGGACAUUAAUGGAGCUUCCUAAAGAGAUAUUGGAUAGUUUCUUAGAGAUGGAGUUUGAGGAUAGUGGCGUUUAUGUGCUUCUGUCUAACAUUUUUGCUGCUAAUAAAAGAUGGGAUGAUGUUUCGAGAAUUAGGAGGUUGAUGAAGGUAAGAGGUAUCUCGAAGGUUCCAGGAUCAAGUGCUAUAGAGAAGUUCAUGGCAUAGAACAAUGAUGAUGAAAUUAUGAUGUAUGAAUAACAUGACCACCAGAUACGAGAAUGCCUUACAAUACAUACAUAACAGAGUUCAUGAGUUUCUCGCAUGUCUCUCUGCCCAAAGCUGAACUUGUCUUCUUCUACUUCACGUUUAUCUCGCUUCUUCACCUUAUUAUAUGUAUAUAAUAUUAUAAUUAUAAUUUUUAUGCAGUUACAUUGUACAUGAUUAUUUUCACAGAAAUCAUCCCUUUUUUUGGGUUAAAAUCACAGAAAUUCUUGAUUUAUCAUUUUCUGAAGAAUGAUUAAAAUUCAAAAGUUCAUUUUUUUAUUUGCUAGGAAAUUAAGCAAUUUAUUAUGCUAAAAAUUACAAGAAAGAGAAAAGGAUUAAUACUAGGGUUUUUCAUCCAUAGCUUCUGCAUGCUAGCUACAAAUAUUAGAGACUAAUAAUGGUAAAUUACAGUGAUAAUUAGAGCAUAGCAUUAUUAUUAGCAUUAUGGUACCAGUUUCCCAUAUUGCCCUCACCAUUACCAUUAUCUUCAUGACUGCCACUGUUUGCUCCUCCUCCCAUGGCGGAUCUAUCGAAAACCCAAUCCGUCGUAGCCGUUGGCGGAGGAAUCAACUCUACGUUCUGAAACAUAACCGGUUUCUCGUUAACCGGGAGAGAAUCUUGGUGAAACAUGGAAGUGACGAGUCUCUGUUGUUGAAGCUUCUGGUGCAAAUCUUGGUUAAAGGAACUCAAAGACUCGAUGGAAGAAGAUGACGCAAGGUUGUAGUUAGGGUCCAACGGAAACAUGUAGCCGGAGAAUCCACCGGAACUCAUCAUCAUCAUCGCCGUCGAAGGAUGGUUUCUUACAAGCUCGCGAGACAACGAUGGCGUCACGUUCGAGAACAAAGGAGGAGAAGAGAUGACGUGGAGGGUGCAAGGCUUGUUCUUGUUUCGGGUCGAGCCACCGAUGGGGACGUUACGGAGGGCGCCUCCACGUGUCCAGUAACGUCGACAGUUCUUGCAGUAGUGACGUGGCUGAGACAAGCUGUAGUUGUUGUAGUAGCAGAAUUUGGUGUUGACUGAAUCACAUCUCGGACACUUCAGAACCGGCUGCGUCGCUGGAGACGUCGGUUCUCUGUUAUUGCUCUGACGUGGUGGCUUCGUCAUCGUCUUGAUCCUGCGUGGUUUGAAGCUGGAGGUGUUGCUUUGAUGGGCUGACGUCAUCAUGAUAUGGGGCAAGAGAGGGGAGAUGCGUUCUUGUGAUUUCUAUGAAUCUUCAUAUGUAUAUAUAUGAACGCAUUGACGUAUAUAAAGUACAUAUAUAUAUAUAACAUGUACAUGCAUGCUUAUUGUAUAGUAUGUGUAUUUAAAACUUUUUCUUAAACUGAAUGUGUAUAUUUUAUAAUUAAUUUUCUUUGACAUCAUAUAUAAUGGUAUCUGCCUAGGAAUGUGUUAUUCAACUAGUUUUGUUGUAUAUAUCGCCACUAGUACGCAAUUUAGGCGUUAGCAUCAAUCGCUAGGUGAAAAAAGCGUGACCGUCCCUGACUAAUUGUGAAAUAGCCAGAGAUUGAAUCUUCUGGCAAAGAAAAAAGUUUCUGGCUAGGUUCAGUUUCUUUAGUAUUAAUUACGAUUAAUUAACAACAUAUAUAGAUUAGAUUUUUUAUUGUUAUAGUAAGGGUGUAACAGUGAGCACCAAACUCAACUCAUAUCAGAUUUGUUGCAGUGGGUUCUAUAGUUGUUAAGAAAUAUUUAAGCUGUUCCUCUAGAUGAAUAAUUCACCAAUUAUAAAUAAAUGCCUAAAUUGAUACAUCCAGUUUUAGAAUAUUACACCACUAUAUGAUUUACAUAUAUAGUUACUAGGAAACAAUUUACAUAUAUAGUUAAAUGUGGUAAACUCAUUUGGUCGAGCAAAGAUUGCCUUCAGAAACAUGUUCCUAAGUUUUGAGUUAUCAAAUGGAGAUAAAUGAUAAAUUACGCAUUCUUAUAUAUGGUAGAAGCGAAAAAUCUCUUGUAUUAUGUAAUAUUCAGACAAGACAGGAUAAGAUCGACCUAGGGAAGAGAGAGUGAAGGAGAGAUGAGUGGUAAAAGGUACGAGGUAAAGAAAGAGANNNNNNNNNNNNNNNNNNNNNNNNNNNNNNNNNNNNNNNNNNNNNNNNNNNNNNNNNNNNNNNNNNNNNNNNNNNNNNNNNNNNNNNNNNNNNNNNNNNNNNNNNNNNNNNNNNNNNNNNNNNNNNNNNNNNNNNNNNNNNNNNNNNNNNNNNNNNNNNNNNNNNNNNNNNNNNNNNNNNNNNNNNNNNNNNNNNNNNNNNNNNNNNNNNNNNNNNNNNNNNNNNNNNNNNNNNNNNNNNNNNNNNNNNNNNNNNNNNNNNNNNNNNNNNNNNNNNNNNNNNNNNNNNNNNNNNNNNNNNNNNNNNNNNNNNNNNNNNNNNNNNNNNNNNNNNNNNNNNNNNNNNNNNNNNNNNNNNNNNNNNNNNNNNNNNNNNNNNNNNNNNNNNNNNNNNNNNNNNNNNNNNNNNNNNNNNNNNNNNNNNNNNNNNNNNNNNNNNNNNNNNNNNNNNNNNNNNNNNNNNNNNNNNNNNNNNNNNNNNNNNNNNNNNNNNNNNNNNNNNNNNNNNNNNNNNNNNNNNNNNNNNNNNNNNNNNNNNNNNNNNNNNNNNNNNNNNNNNNNNNNNNNNNNNNNNNNNNNNNNNNNNNNNNNNNNNNNNNNNNNNNNNNNNNNNNNNNNNNNNNNNNNNNNNNNNNNNNNNNNNNNNNNNNNNNNNNNNNNNNNNNNNNNNNNNNNNNNNNNNNNNNNNNNNNNNNNNNNNNNNNNNNNNNNNNNNNNNNNNNNNNNNNNNNNNNNNNNNNNNNNNNNNNNNNNNNNNNNNNNNNNNNNNNNNNNNNNNNNNNNNNNNNNNNNNNNNNNNNNNNNNNNNNNNNNNNNNNNNNNNNNNNNNNNNNNNNNNNNNNNNNNNNNNNNNNNNNNNNNNNNNNNNNNNNNNNNNNNNNNNNNNNNNNNNNNNNNNNNNNNNNNNNNNNNNNNNNNNNNNNNNNNNNNNNNNNNNNNNNNNNNNNNNNNNNNNNNNNNNNNNNNNNNCAACACGAAACUUAAAUAUAUUACGACAAACCAAACAAGCAAGAAAAAGCUUUGGGAAAUUUGAUUCUCAAGACUUAUAAAUUAGGGGUAGGCUUCAAAGUGUUGGCAACAUCAAUCACAAAUCGGUAUCUAACGUCGGCCUUCUCGAGCCGUUCCAUGGCGGUGUUGACAUAAUCCGCAGAGAUAAGCUCAAUAUCCGCGGUGAUGUUAUGUUCUGCGGCCAUAUCCAUCAUCUCCUGAGUCUCUUUUAUCCCUCCUAUCAUGCUUCCCACUACCAUUUUCCUCUCUACACAUACAAAAUAGCAAAACCACCAAAACAAUUUUUUUUUAAAAAUUGAUGUCAUUCUCGCGGUUCACUGACUUAACACUACAAAUUUAACACACGGAUUAGUUUGUUACUACAAAUAAAGAUUACCAAAGAUGAGAGGCAAGACCGGUAGCUCGAGUGGCUUCACCGGUGCACCAACCAUAACAAGUAUUCCCUUAUGCUUCAGCAAACCGAGCAAUGGAAGAAGCGGAUGAGUCGCAGAUACAGUAUCAAUUAUACCAUCCAUAGUCCCCAUUGCAUCCUUAAUCUGCUUCGGGUCACGGCUCACCAAGAAGGUAUCCGCACCAAGCCGAUUAAUCGCCUCGUCUCUCUUACCCUCAGAAGUACUGAUAACCGUAACUUUGCAACCCAUAGCCUUGGCAAAUUUAACUCCUACAUGACCCAAACCGCCUAGUCCUACCACACCGAUGUGCAUACCAGGUUUGUCAAGCCCGUGAUACUUCAUAGGGGAAUAGACCGUGAUCCCGGCGCAGAGGAGCGGCGCGGCAGCGUCCAUUGGGAGAUUGUCGGGAAUACGGAUGACAAAACCUUCAUCGCAAACCAUGUGGUCCGAGUAACCACCACAUGUUAUGGUGCCGUCAUAAUACUUAAACCCGUACGUUUGGAUCAAUUUCGGACAGUAGUUUUCCAUGCCUUCGGUGCAUCUGUCACAUGACCCGCACGAGCCGACCAAGCACCCAACUCCGACUUUGUCUCCGGUUUUGAAUUUAGUUACUUUGGCUCCUACUUCAGUCACCACGCCGACGAUCUCAUGCCUGGAAAAACAAGAGGAUAAAUAAACAUUCUUUACUCGUUCAAAAUGACCAUAAAAAAAUUUCAGGAUCUCUCAUCCAAGAAUCCUUCGAAAUAAAUUUGGUAAUAUAUAUAUUGAUAUUAAUUACGUACCCAGGGACAAGGGGAUAUUUUGACAUUCCCCACUCGUUCUUGACCAUAUGCAAAUCACUGUGACAAAUUCCACAGAAUAACACUUGGAACCUUACAUCCUUUUCUCCUGUUUCCCUACACAAUACAUUAAUUAUUUCCACCAAAACUUUAUAAUUAGGUUCAAUAAUUACAUUGAAACCAAACUGAUAGAGAGAUAAAAAAAAAAAAAAAACAAUUUUGAAACCUUCUAGAGAAACGGAAAAGCGAGAGAACUCCCGAAUUGUCAUUUGCGGCCAAUCCGAACGCCUCUUUCUCGAGAACCUUUCCCAUACUCGAGAUCAAAAUUACAACAAUAAGAUUGAGAGAAUUGGAUUCGAACACAAAUAAGUGUCUCGUUUGUUUCUUUUUCUUUUUAGUUUAAACUUAAUGUCACUUACAGUUGAGAAGUUUGAGAUGAUAAGAAGGUUUAGACAAAUGCCUUAAUAUAGGAAAUGACUGAUGAGGAGGAACCGAUUUGAUUGGAUGCAAUUAGGACCAUGCACUUACUUUCACGAUAUUAGUUUUUUUUUUUUUUUCCACGAGAGUUCCUCACCAACUAGUUCUUUUCUUCCUUUUUUUUUNNNNNNNNNNNNNNNNNNNNNNNNNNNNNNNNNNNNNNNNNNNNNNNNNNNNNNNNNNCAUAUUUUCAGUAUUUAGUGACUAUUAACAUGUUCAGACAAAUAUACACAUACAAUACGUACAUAUAUAACUUUUCUAAACAUUUCAUAAUUUCAUAUGCAUAUACCGCCCAAGAUAUAUGGUUAACGUGUUGAUGAUGGUAAACAGAUUUUUAAAUUUUAACGUGUUCCAAAAAGUUGGGAAUGAACAUUUCAACAAUAUUUUCUAAUUUAUUAUCUCAGCCCACGCCACGUAGUCAUAUUUGGAUAGCACAUUGAUAAUCAAUAGAAGUUUUAAACACCGUCGUUUUGUUUUUGAGGCCACAAAUUAACGUUGUUAAUCUUUUUUUUUUCCGGCCAAUUAUCUAAUUAGAUAAAGAAAGUUUUACAGCGUUUUUACAACGUUGUUAAUAAAUACUCACAAGUCAGUAUAUAAUAUAUUUUACGGACUAUAUAUUAUUUGUUUGGUAUAUAUAUAUUUGAACAUGUCUCAAACUCAACGAUGUAUCUGUUCACGUGUGUACUCACAAGUCCAUAUGAUUCUCAUUGUACGUACUCAUUUCGUCCACGGAACAUAUUCAUAAUAAAACCGUCUUUACACUGCUAAGAUCGGAAAUCAUUGAAUAAUUUCUUAGAUUCAUGCACUUGAUCGAUUGUUACACCCAAAAAAAAAGUAGUUUAUAUUUAAUGCCUCACGUAAUUUGACCAAUAUCUUGCUACUUAAUUUAUAGUAAUCCAUUUAAUUAAAUAAAAGUAUUUCAUUAAGCUUCCACAAACUCAAAUCAUAAAGCUAAUUAAAUAAAAUAUUCAAGUUUAUUAAAUUGAUACAACACAUGCUGUAGUAGUAGUAGUACACACAAAGACGUGAACUUAAUACACAAAACUUAUUACAACAGACCAAACGAGAAAAAAAUGACUUGGGGAUGUUCAAUUCUUAAGCUUUCUAAUUAAGGAGUAGGCUUCAACGUGUUGGCAACAUCAAUCACAAAUCGGUACUUAACGUCAGCCUUAGCGAGUCGUUCCAUGGCAGUGUUGACAUAAUCCGCAGAGAUAAGCUCAAUAUCCGCCGUGAUGUUGUGUUUUCCGGCCAUGUCCAUCAUCUCUUGCGUCUCCUUUAUACCUCCUAUCAUACUUCCCACCACCAUCUUCCUCCCUAUUACACAACCACGUACCAAAAACAUAUUCGCAAUGUUUAAUUAUCAAUAUAAGCUUAAUUGGAAUUAAAAACAUAUCAUGUAAGAUAACAAAGAUGAUUGGCGAAUAGGCUCGUACCGAAGAUGAGAGGCAUGACCGGUAGCUCAAGUGGCUUCUCAGGAGCACCAACCAUAACAAGUUUUCCCUUAUAUUUAAGCAAACCUAGCAGCGGAAGAAGCGGAUGCGUUGCGGAUACGGUAUCAAUUAUACCAUCCAUAGUCCCCACUGCAUCCUCCAUCUGUUUCGGGUCACGGCUCACCAAGAAGGCAUCGGCACCGAGCCGAUUAAUAGCCUCAUCUCUCUUACGAUCCGAAGUACUUAUAACCGUAACUUUAUUACCCAUAGCCUUAGCAAGUUUCACUCCUAUAUGACCCAAACCGCCUAGACCUACCACACCAAUGUGCAUACCCGGCUUGUCGAGGCCGUGAUACUUCAUUGGGGAGUAUACUGUGACCCCCGCACAGAGUAGUGGAGCGGCACCAUCCAAAGGGAGAUUUUCAGGAAUACGGAUGAUAUAAUCCUCAGCACACACCAUGUGGUCGGAGUAACCACCAUGGGUCAUGGUGUCGUCGUAGUCUUUGGCUCCGGCGGUUAGGAUCAUCUUUGGACAGUAAUUCUCUUCGCCAUCGCUGCAGCUGUCACAUGACAGGCACGAGCGGGACAUGUAGCCAACUCCGACUUUGUCUCCAGUGUUGAAUUUGGUCACUUUCGUCCCAACUUCAGUCACCACUCCCACUAUCUCAUGCCUGAACAGUAGUAUAUAUUAAAGCUAUUUCAAUAUUUAAGUAAAUAUAUAGCAUCUCUGUUUUAUUGUUGGAGUAAAGAGAUUUUGUGAUACCCUGGGACGAGAGGAUAAGUAGUAAAGCCCCAUUCGUUUUUGGCCAUGCUCAAAUCAGUGUGGCAAAUUCCACAGAACAACACUUUGAACCUAACAUCCUUUUCUCCAGUCUCCCUACGUACAUACGCAUUGAGUUCCACCAAAAGUUAAUUUCAUUAGAACAAACAAAUUUUAAUCGGAUCAUUAGAGGUUAAUUAAUAUUCGUUAUAAGAGAAAAAGGAAACCUUCUAGAGAAACUGAAAGGUGUGAGAACUCCGGAUUCAUCUUUCGCAGCCAAUCCAAACGCCUCAUUCUCAAGAACCUUGCCCAUCUUGAUAAACAAUAAAAGAUUUAUCUUCGUGACACUAAUAAUUGACAAGUUUCAAUAAAAUGAAUAGCAAAGACGUCGGAUUUUAUACAAAAAGAAAAGGCUUGUAGACCCGAUGAGAAUGAGGACAACUACUCUCAUUAAUAUAAUUUACAGGGACCAUAUUAACCACGUCCACGAGAAUAGAUGGUCCCUAAUGGCUAACUCAAUUUUGUUCUAGUAGCAGUGCGAUGUCGUCAGUCACGGACAGUCAUAUCAGCUCACCGGUUUGAUACUGAUGUGUUCAUAAAUUAUACAGUUGAUUUUUCCUGCUGAAUCGAAGGUAUGGUUUUUUUUCUUUUCUUUUUUCUUUUUUUUUUUGGUAACAAUGUAAAGUAAUCCAAAGCUAUGGUUGUGAUGCAAAGGUCGUUCUCUUAAUUUUACAGUUGUUUUCGUGUAAUAUGGUCCCGAGGUAACAAUUAUUGUACCGAUAGAUACUACCUUCCACAUCAAAAUUUUAAAGAUCUACGCACAUGGAACUUAAUCCAACCACAUGAAAAAAAAAAAAAAAGGAAAUUCAACCGCAUAUGUAAAUAGUACUUGUUUUGGUGUCAAAUUAGGUAUAAGUCCAUCCGUUGGAUAAUAUAUUCAUAUUUAAAACGUGUUUUGCCCUUACGUUCGGUUCAUAUAAUUCAAUAUCCUCAGUACAUCCCUCAAUACAGCUUUUGAAAUUUCUUUCAAAUCAUAAUCACUAGAAUUACAUUCACUUGACCAUACUCCAUUUAUAAAAAGAAAGAAAACAGAUUAUGAUUGAAAUCCAGACUAAAGUUUAUUUGAAUACACAUAUGACAUCAAGUUUAGACAAGAGGAUUAAGUAGCGUUGCCAAAACAAUAUUACGAUCUAGUAGAAGCCAAAGUGUUGGCGAUGUCGAUGACAAAUCUAUAUCUAACAUCCCCUUUCGCGAGUCUAUCCAUGGCAGUGUUCACAUAAUCCAUGGAUAUGAUCUCAGUUUCUGCUUUUACGCCAUGCUCGGCCGCAAAAUCAAUCAUCUCUUGUGUCUCUUUCAUUCCUCCUAUACCACUUCCCGCUACCGAUUUCCUUCCUUGCCGAUUGCAUAAGGGUCUCAUCUCAUCAUACUAGUCAAAUAGUUUAUAUAUGAAAAGUUGAAUAAAUUAACUACUAUAACGGUCUCGUACCUAUGAUUAAGGAAAAUGCAGAUAAAUCAAAUGGCUUCUCGUUUGCACCGAGUAGAACAAGUUUACCGUUGGAUUUGAGUAGUCCAAUUAAAGGUAAAAUCGAAUGCGAUGCAGAAACGGUAUCAAUUAUGCCAUCCAUAGUUCCCAUUGCGGCCUAAUUAGUAACAUAAAUUUAAAACAUGAUAAAAAUAUUUAUAUACAUUUUAUAUGCAUAACAAUAUGGUUGAAUUAAGAUUACCUUCAUUUGGUCUUCAUCAGUACUAACCAAGAACCCAUCAGCUCCAAGAGUUUCAAGAGCAUCCUUACAUUUCCCUGGGGUGGAGCUAACCACCGUGACUCUAGUCCCAAAUGCUUUUGCAAAUCUCACCCCAAUGUGUCCAAGACCACCUAGCCCCACGAUUCCAAUAUGCUUAUCUGGUCCGGCUAAUCCGAAGUACUUCAUAGGGCUGUACACCGAGAUGCCUAUAUAUAUGAUACGUCAUAUUAAUGAAAAUCUUGAUAAUCAAAUAUCAUCAUGUAUUCAUGUUUCAUUUAGAUUUACCUGCACAAAGCAAAGGUGCGGCCGAAGCUAGAGGCAACGUGUGUGGAAUCUUGACGGCGUAACGUUCAUCGACGACGAUGUGGUCAGAGUAUCCACCGUAGUUAAUCGUUCCGUCGUGGUGAGCUCCGUUAUAGGUCGCGACAGCUUUGGCGCAGUAGUUUUCUUGAUCUUCACGACAACUCUCGCACGCGCGGCAGGAAUCUACUAUGCAUCCAACACCAACUCUGUCUCCAAGAUUGAAUUUACUUACUUUGCUCCCUUUCUCACUCACUUCUCCAACAAUCUCAUGCCUGUAGUAAACAACCAUACCACACGUUUAUGUAUUUCCGAACAAUGAGAUUAAACGUUAUAUAUUUUUUUUUUUUUAAAAGUGAGAUUAAUCGUUUAUUUCCUUUUUUCUGCGUUGGGGACUUUUAGCAAAAAUGUAAAUAUUGCUGUACUUAAUUAUAUACCGUUAAUUUUUAAAUUUUAUUUUUGGGUGACAAGAGAACUCUGUAUAAAAUUACGUUGUGCUGCACUUAAUUAAUUAUAUAUCUUCGUAACGUUGAAUUUUGAUCUGUGCGUGUGGAUUUAUUAAUAAUAUAGAAAUCAACUCAAAGUGAAAAAAAAAAAAAAACUCAAAGUGAUGAAUGAUGGUAAUAAUGGAGGUGAGUGGUCACUGGUCAGUUUUGGCAAAACUUAUUUGAAUGUAGUAAUUAAUUUAUCUGCCUAAAUGUUUGUUUUCCAACUUAUUUAUAUAAUCUAGCCGAAAGAAAAGAGCUAAAAGUAUAAGUGCUCCACUAUCAACAGUGAACAAACGAGAAUUUGCCACAUUUCAAUUCCACUCAAUUAUAAUCUUGAUCUCUAAUAAUUUAAGUAAUUUACCAACCAAAUCCACUAUUUUAAUCCUUUCUGAAUCAUAUGGUAAAAUUAUCAUUUCACCUAAUAACUAUAAUCACGAUCGUACUUUAAAUCACCAUACAAGCCAAAUUCGGAUUUCUUUUUUCUUUUAAUCGAAGUUUAUAAUCGUACGGUUAACAAAGAUUUUACGAAAAAAGUGAAGAAAAAUAAAAAAUGCGUACCCAGGAACCAAAGGGUAAAUGGAGGAAUGCCAUUCGUUCUUGAGACAAUGGAGAUCACUAUGACAUAUUCCACAAUACAACACUUUCACUCUCACUUCCUCUGCUCCUGUUUCCCUGCACAUUGCACAUACCAUACCAUACUAUCAUCAAUAUCAUGUAAUCGUUAUGGCUAAAGUAAUCAAUCGGUACAUCAUGCACAUGUGUAAGUACACCACCAUCGCAGAGACAGUACCGUUACCUUCUAGGAAAGACAAAGGGAGAGAGAUGGCCUGAGGAGUCUCUUGCCGCCCAUCCGAACGCCUCGACGGUCUUCUCUCUCUCUUCUGAUGAUGAUGAUGAUGAUCUCUCCAUCUGCUUUCACUCUUUUUUAUUUCUUUGUUUUCGAACAAUUAAGGGACCGGAGUAUCUAUCUUCUUAUAUAGGAUUGAGAGACAUCUGAAACGCUGCCGUUUCGUUUGAGAAAUUUGACUUUAUUUCUCUCGCACCAUAACAUAAAAUAUCAUGAUGAUGAAAGUUGAAUAUUUGAUAUAACUUUUUUUGUCAACUAUAAAAUUAAUAGAAUUUUUUAAAAUUUAAUCUUAUCAGAUAAAGCUUCUUACACGCAACAAACUUAACCUUUUUCAUCAACGUUGUUGUGUAAAACAACAAAUUAAUUCUUAUUAUAAUUUUGACUUUGACAACUAUAUAAAUUGAAAAAUCCCUCCCACCAUUAUAUAUACUUAUCAGACUCCGGAAGGACCUUCCAAACGAAGAUAAUCAUACAUUACACCUGAAAACGAAUCAGUAGUGUUCCGACCAUGAGUAAGAAAUAUCGUAUUAUUACCAACCCUAAGUAACUUCCCAUUAACAUCGAUAUUGUACAAUUUGUACAGCCCAUGAAUCCCAUGCCUGGCGAUCGCGUUAUCCCGGCCUAUUAGCCCAGACAUGAAGAUAGGUUUGGAAUCAGCUUCGUUGACCUGAACCAUUAAAUUAACAGUUGUGGCUGCAGCCAAAGCUAUUCGAAGUGUGUAGUUUCCAGUUUGAGUCACUGCUUUUAAAUUGAACUUAAUUUGCCAUGUCGUUGCUUCAUAUGUCCCGUUUCCAGCUUUCCUAUAUUUUACAAGAAAUAAAUAUAUUAUUUGUAUUGGCAGAUUAACAACAUUUAUUUUGGAUAAUCAAAAUAUAUAUUAUUAAUUACCUGUUGACAUGGGCAUAGAACCAGUCUUUUUUAUAGUCACUCAAUCCAGCAAUAAAAACAAGAUCGUUUCGUGGAUACAAAGCACUGUAACGAUCCCAUAGACCAUAUUGUCUAAAUCUGUAUUAUUACACAUAAAAAUUAAUAAAAGUAGUAAACAAUGUUUGAUGUGUUGCUUAAUUAUGUUAAUUACCUGUCUUGAGGAUUUGAGUGAUUAAAAGAGAGUUUGGUGAAAAGGGCUGGGUCCGGUUCUGGGAUAUAGAACUCUGCGGCGGUUCGGUCCGGUUCUCCAAUCUCCCACAGUGUCUGACCGUUUCUCGGUGGCUCGUACACUAUAGGUCCAAUGUUUAUCUCCUUACCUAUAGGCCAAACCAAACUAUGAGUCCAAUACUUGGGCCUAAUAAGUAUUCUUCAGCUGUGGCCCAUCUUAAACUUAAAAUAUGAUUACAACAGUGUUACCUGGUGUGAUGGUAAUGUCACGCUCGUAUUUAUAGUCACCGAUAAAUCCAGGAACCCAUGCGUAGAGACUAUACGUCCCAGGUCUCACAUUAGCUAUCGUGAACAUCCCCGUUUUGUCUGCUCGUGUCCAAAAUUGAUAUCCCUUUUUCCAGAUUUUGAUUGUAAAGGAUUAUUAAAAAGCGAGAUUGUUGACAUACAUUGAGUAAUAUAUAUAGGUUAGUUUGGUACCUUGUUUUCGGUUUGCCAUGAACCAGCUUCACCAGGUAAUGCUAAUCCCACAAAAGCAAAUUCCUCGAAUAAGUUUGCCUUGAUUUUGUUGUACCUACAAUAAUUUCAUAAUUUCCCGCAUAUCAUUAUUUUUGAAUAUAUAUACUUGCAUAUAAACAAAAACUGAGAAAUAUAUUUAUUUAUUUACCUGUCUUUAACAAAGAGUUGACCUUUAAUUGUUCCUCUUUGGUGAUGAAGAGGGUAAUCUACGGACUUCACGAAAUCAUAAGGCCAGCUUUGGACCUCGGAAACCAUCUAUAUAUACAUACAAUUUGUUUAAGUACGAUGAUAUGGAAUACAAAAACGAAUAAAAUAAUGGGUCACUGAUAUGGUAAUUAACGAGACCUGUCGUUUAGCGUCGGUCCAGAGAAGAUUAUGAGAAGAGGCAGAGUUGAGAUAAACAAAAACAGGACCAAACACCUUCUUCCACGGCUCCUUGCUUGUAUAACUAGUGUUCAUAUCUUUCCCCACGUAGUGUACACUUGUAAACAUCUAAUUAAAGAAAAAACACAAGAUACUUAUGGAAUAAGAAAUGAAACAUAAAUACACGACCACCCACCAAAAUUAAGAGGAUGUAGGCAGUACUUACGGAGAGAGUGGUGGGUCCGAGAUGAGAAGUAAGAUCUUGUUUGACGGGUCCGCAGCCACGGAACUCGUUGCUGGGAGUAAUCAUCCAGAACCCAACACCUUGGUCCGACGAUAUCCAACCGUGUACUUUGUUGUCUUUGUCUUCCAUUGAGUACAUGUACUUAUCGUCUACCUGCAUCACAUCCCCGUAAACCAUUUUCUUACCCUUUGUUACUUUGACUUGAUAACUAUUAUAACUGAUAAAGCUAUAUACUAUAAAUUUCCUGAGGGUAUAACAUUAUUUUUGGAUUAAUUUUUGAUAUACCUGCCCUUUAAGCAUAUGAUUUUGUGGAUUUUUCAAAUGAACAGCUUCUUUGUAAGCCAGUUUACUAGCACGACCACUCCUGAUAUUUCUAUCUGCUUCAAAAGGCAUAAUUUUCUGCCGAUCAUCCGAUAUAGCCAUUACAUCGAAUCUGCAACAUUGUUUUUAUAAUAAAAAUUAUUAUUUUUUCAAUCGUAUAGCAAUAUAAAAAUAUGAUAUAAAUAACAAAGUGCUUACUUUGUUGUGUUAAGCUUGAAGACGAUUCUGGUUUGGUCCAUGAGUACAUCAGGCCAACCUUUCAACCUCUCCAACACAGCGUACAUGUAUACUCCGGACACACCCCUUCGAAUAAUAUACCUUUAAAGGGAACCAUUCUCCAUUGUUGUUAAUCUAUAUAGUUUACUUCUCCAUGAAAGGGAAAAAAAGAGUUAGUAUAACUACGCUUUUAUAUUUUACUUGCAAAUUGACGUACCGUUUGUCUACGUUCAACGGCGCUACUGAGCCCCGUUGAGACACACUCCAUGUUCUCGAAAAUGAAAUUUCGACAUGCUCACUUGUUUGAUUUACUAUAUCGAAUUUUGUUCCUACUAACCUGUUAUUAGACCAUAACAUUAAUAUAAAAUAGAAAAUAUAUGUAUAGUACGUAGCUAGGUACAAUUUUGAAAUAUAUAUAUAAUCAAAAAAAUACGAAGAGAGAUUGGAAUACUCACAAAUCGGUUUCCGGUUGAUGUCCUGGUUCAUACCAUACUACGUCCCAAUACCUUUAUAUAAUAAUGCAUGGUAAUGUUAUAUAAGACGAACUAUAUAUCUUGUUUAUAAUACAUUUCUCGCAUGCUAUAUAUUAACUAAAUAUUAAGAUAGAUCUAUAUAUCAUACCCGCGAUUUUCAAUUUGGUCGUUCAAGAUAUUGUUAAAGCCAUUGUACUUGAUUCCAGUUAUCAAGCCUCGUGGACAUGAGAAGGUAACUUGGAUUAUACCGUUAUCAACGACCACCUUAAACAACAACAAAACAGGCCAUCAUAUAUAACAGUAUCCUUGCAUCGAAACAUUCUAUUUCUAUAUACGUAUAAGAGAAUUCAUAUAACGUUUUAGUAGUAUAACUAAUUAAACCAAAAAUUAAAUUAGACAUUUGGACGACCGUACUUGGUUAGGACCAACUUUCUUGAGCGUAACCGGGGGAGAUGCANNNNNNNNNNNNNNNNNNNNNNNNNNNNNNNNNNNNNNNNNNNNNNNNNNNNNNNNNNNNNNNNNNNNNNNNNNNNNNNNNNNNNNNNNNNNNNNNNNNNNNNNNNNNNNNNNNNNNNNNNNNNNNNNNNNNNNNNNNNNNNNNNNNNNNNNNNNNNNNNNNNNNNNNNNNNNNNNNNNNNNNNNNNNNNNNNNNNNNNNNNNNNNNNNNNNNNNNNNNNNNNNNNNNNNNNNNNNNNNNNNNNNNNNNNNNNNNNNNNNNNNNNNNNNNNNNNNNNNNNNNNNNNNNNNNNNNNNNNNNNNNNNNNNNNNNNNNNNNNNNNNNNNNNNNNNNNNNNNNNNNNNNNNNNNNNNNNNNNNNNNNNNNNNNNNNNNNNNNNNNNNNNNNNNNNNNNNNNNNNNNNNNNNNNNNNNNNNNNNNNNNNNNNNNNNNNNNNNNNNNNNNNNNNNNNNNNNNNNNNNNNNNNNNNNNNNNNNNNNNNNNNNNNNNNNNNNNNNNNNNNNUGAAGAAGAAAGAUCAGAACGAACAGUUUGGUCAUAACCCGAACCGCCUUCAUUACCGGAGCUCCGUAUUCCAUGAUAUCCUUCUCCAAUUCACUAAAACCUUCGACAAAUAAAACAGAAAAUGAAAUUAUUACCCCCAAAAUGAUAUUUUAGACAAAUGGCAAUUAGUAGCAAGGUCAUCAACCUCUUGAUCAGCGAAGUUAGUCUCGUCGAUCUAUACUAAAUCAGUAUGGCUAAUGCCUAAAACUCCUUACACAUAAACUUUCUUGGAUUCUUUUGCAGCUUAAUUUGCUCUCUUCACUGAAGAAAGUUAUAUCUCUCUCGUAAGAUAUUGUUACUUAAACUUUUUGAUUAACCAUUGUUAUUCAUCAAGAUGAUAAUCUCUGAUUAACAAAAUAAGAGAGAUCACAAAUCUUUUUACAACUCAGAUACAAAAUCUUACAAGGAGCUGCUAGCUAGGUGUGUAUCUAUAUUUAUAUUUGUAGCUAAAAAUAAAAUCCCUGUAAUAUUUUUCCUUUUAAUUUUGUGCAAUGGAUCGGGUAAGUUAAGAAACUACAUAUGUGCUCGGUAUCUUUAUUUCCAUUUCUUAAGAAAUUGAAACCUUCAAAUAAUAGGUUAUUCCAUUAAAUAGGUUAUAAUUCUGAAAAAAAAAAAUAUUACUGAGUGUUGAAGGAUAUGAACCUAUUAAAACAUAUUGCUAAUGAUUUAAAUGUUUUGAGUUUAAACCAUUUAAAAUUGAAUCUGAGAGUUUUUAAUAUGUUUCAUCAAAGAAAAGGUACACAAUUUGUUAAAUAAUCAAAUCCAGCAAAUUUGAUAAAUCCAACGGGUUAAUAAACUAUAGUAUUGGCCUCGAUAUAACUCCUAACUCAAUGGGCUUAUGGGCCAUAAGAAAAUAAGGAACUUCUUACUUAAUUGCUUAUUGAAUCAUGGCAAUAAUCCAAUAAUGUUACAUUAGUAUGUGUAUGUUUAACUAAUUAGUCUAUUCGAUAUCAUCAUUUUCAAAUAAAAAUUCGAAAUUUGGACAUCAAGAAAAAAUUAGAUAAAUGCUGUCAAAAAAAAAAACUAGAUUAAUUUAUUAUUUUUUUAGAAAGCAAAAUUAAUAAAAUAAGAGUCUAUAAAGUAGGCAAUUGCAUAACAAAANNNNNNNNNNNNNNNNNNNNNNNNNNNNNNNNNNNNNNNNNNNNNNNNNNNNNNNNNNNNNNNNNNNNNNNNNNNNNNNNNNNNNNNNNNNNNNNNNNNNNNNNNNNNNNNNNNNNNNNNNNNNNNNNNNNNNNNNNNNNNNNNNNNNNNNNNNNNNNNNNNNNNNNNNNNNNNNNNNNNNNNNNNNNNNNNNNNNNNNNNNNNNNNNNNNNNNNNNNNNNNNNNNNNNNNNNNNNNNNNNNNNNNNNNNNNNNNNNNNNNNNNNNNNNNNNNNNCACACAUAUUUAAGUUUAAACAGUUGUUCUAAAGGGGCAUCUAUCAUAACGAAUCAUGGAUAAACUGAUCACUUAAACUAUUUAAUUUGUAUAUGACGAUAACAUUUCUGGCACUCUGAGUAAAUUAAUUGCGAAUUCCUUUUUGAGCUAUACUCAAUUAUGCAACACACUAUCGCUUUAAAUCAUAUAUGCUCUCUUGGAUUACUUUAAUGACAAUGUAAGGAAUCAUUUUUUAAAUAUGAAAUUUUAAGCUCUAGUGAGCUAUGAUGGCAUUUUCAACUAGUGUUACCGUUGAUCUCGACUGCAUUAUUAAUUAUAGUAUUCUAAAGUUUUAAUACCGUUUCCCAAAUGAAUUACGUUGGUUUAGCUAAGAUGCGCGCAACCACAUACAGUAUAGUAUUCAAACCCUUAACCCAAAAUCUAAAACUAAAACAUUAUCGUCAAAUUGUUGACUCUAAUUAUUAAGCGUUUCAAACACAGUAUUAUCAAGGGGUAUUAUCAAACACCGUAACAGUAUGUGUCUCCCUCUCUCGAUGUUCUCAUAUUAAUGAGUCCAAAAACUACAAGAAAGCUAGAUUCUUAUAAGUUACUCCAAUAAGAGGAAACUCAAUAUUAGCAAUUUUGUAAGCCAAACACCAUAGUUCCUCUUUAACAUUUGUAUCUUUGAUAUAGUAUCAAAUCUUGAAAUAAUUGAUUAUUACUUACUAAUAUAAGAGGACUAAUUAACUCAUAAAAAGUAGUAACAAAUUAAAAAUAUUGUAAUGGCCAACAACUUUGGAACAUUUAGUACAAUUUCCACCAGUCAUCAAGUUCCAAGGCUAUCUUUUUAAACUCGACAUAUAAUUGCAAUUAAUUACCAACUAUAAUUAUUACCUUCGGAAACCUGAAAAAGAAGGUUUAAAUUAAAAACUUUUAUGUACCCAAAGAUCAUGUGGGAUUUAGUUUUAAAAACAUCAAAAGCGACAACACCUUAUCCUUUUCUUGGUCUGAUCGAUAACCUAAAUAAGGUUUAUAAUUAUCAUUCACACUACUACUCUGAGUACUCUCUCACGUUAAUUUUAUAACACCAACAAUAAAUAAAAAAUAAUAAAAAAUGAAGAAGCAUAGUUUAUAUAUGUAACCAACACGUAUUUACUUUUUCAAAACAAUUUGUUUUGGCCUAAUGUGUUAAUAUCAUUUCCGACUAUUAAAACUCAUUAACAAACUAAAUAAAUUAGACAAUAACUUUCUUAAUGAUGCUGUAAUAUAUAUACCAUAAACGCGUAUAUGUUCAGAAGUUCAAUCCAAAAUAUAGCAUUUAUUACACCUAAACAAUACUGUCUGAUUUUGUAUAAUGCACUCAAGUGGUGAUAGCUACCAUAACAUGCUUUGUUGGUGUAAAGUUACAAGAAUCACCUGAGAAAAACUGUAUUCAAUAAUACAAAAGUUUCUUUUUGUAGAGAAGAUAAUAUAGAGUGUUAGGAACUUAGGAUUAUAGAUCUCUGUUAUCGAAUGAAACCUAAGUUCUCUUUCGCAAACUAAGCAUGUUCCUAAGAUUAGUUCUUAUAUAUACGGCAACGAAUUGAAAUACAAAGAUCCCUAUUGUUAAAGAGGCUGUAACAAACCAAGGAAACUGUAGAAUUAUUUGCGUAAACUUCAACUUAGAUUGUAGAAUUGUUUUGGAAAACUUUAAACUUGAAAACGUGAAACGUAAAAGAGAGAACCCAUAGAAGUGAAGAUAAUAAUGAUUAUAAUUGGUAAAACCGAAAUGAUUCGCUGAUGAUUGACACCUGGCGUGAAUAGAGACUAAAUCUUUUUAUCUUAAGACAGACGAUAAUUGGGGAUUUGGUCACUUGGACGCACUUUUAAGAUUCUUUUUUUGAUUAAUAAGAAAAAGAGCAAAGUUUGAGUUUGAGUUUGAGUUUGAGUUUGAGUUUGAGAUUCGAGUUGUGAUUGGUUCGAAGCAGUCCACAGCCCACGUGGUAUCUUUUAUUACCCAUGUUAUCUACCUAGACCCCACCUGAAUCUUACAUAUCAACGGUAUAAAUAUCAAAUUUCAUUAGGGUUUGAAUUUCGAUUUAGUUUGAUUUUAAAAGAAAUUUAGCUACAUUUAAACCAAAUUUUGGUUUUAUUUUUUGAUUGGAUCAUAAGAAUAAGUGUGUAUAUCUUAUUAUAUGCUGUUGAUUAGGGCCAAGAGUUUUGUAGAUUGGUAAACUCGGCUAGUCCACUGCGGACAUCGACCUUAUUACUCAUGAAUAUUAUUAACACAACAUACAUUAUUAAUGUUAAUGGUUUAUAUCCAGUUACUAAUAAUAUCGAGUAAUCCUUUUUUUUCUUCUUCCUAAAAGCCUACGAAAAUCAUCAUCGGCAAUAUAUCGAGUAAUUUAGGAUAUUAAUAUUUGUAAAAAUAGUUUUUUUAUAUAUAAAAAAAAUAAUAAAGAUGAGGCGGUUUCUGCGGUGGAGCGUGCGAAGGCAUCCAUCAAUUGGUGUUCUCACUUCUCAGGAGCUGUUCCUGCUUCUCCCACGUGUGCCUGCCACAAAUGCAUCUUGCAUUUUAUAUUUUUUUCACUCGAUGUAAAUUAUAUACAUAAGCUUGAAUGCUUUAUAUAUAUGCAAAUAAAAGCAUAACUUUAACCAUAUCAACUACAAUUUUUUGUAUUUUUCAAGAUUUAUAUUAUCUGGACCUGAUAUAAAAACCAAAUUUCUUACAUAGAACAACACUGAUUAUAUGUUUAAUUCAUAAUCUAUUUUAUUUUUAAAAUUACUGUGUAUUAUUAAGAGUUGUUUUUAUAUAUGAAUCUGGUAUCAGCUAUAUAUAGACACGGUGUUGCUUUGAUUACAAAUUAAGCAAGUAACGUUAUUUGGUAUUAUAUUUCUUGCCAUAUUUGGAAACUUACGACAAAACAAUGUAGUGAAUCUCCGCAACUCCAAGUUCCUGUCUGACACGUGUACUUUAUAUCGUUUUAUAUACACCAAAAAAAAGAGGACUUAUUCUUUUGUAAGAAAUACAUAAUGCCAUAUGGACUAUUUGUACUAUGUAUUUUGUUCGAUCCCUUCUCUUACUUUUUUGGGUAAAUGUCUUAUGUACAGAUCCAUUAUACAUGUUUAGUAUAUUGUUUUCGUAUGACCAUAAUUAAGGUCCAUUAUACUAUAAUUAAAGCUCUAUUUGUAUCACCUACAAAAGAUAAUUAAUUAAGAAAAGCAGCAUAUAAAGCUAGAGGGUUUUGUCAGAGAAACACGGUCCUGUGAUGCGCCCAUUCACUAUUUCCACAUGACAUCUGAAAAAACAAACAAGACUUAAGAUUUAAAUUAUAAAUAUGUACGGACAUGUUAAAAAAGGAAAUAUUAUUGAUAAUGAAAAUUUACCUAACUCACACUAUACGUUUAAUACUCCUUUUUUAUCCAAACAAUUCCAUUAAGUUUCCACUAUCUCCCACAAUAAACUAUAAAAAGAAAUAGUGAUUAAAGUUAUAUACAUAUAUAUAUAUAUAUACGUUUAAGCUAUAUCUAUAUAUGUUCUCUUAACCUAGUACCUUUAUAAGAACUUCUUUCUAUUUCGUUGGUUUGAUAAAAUCACACACAAAUGCUACUUUUGGACUAUAAAUUUAGUACUUUACUAUGUAUUAAAACUACCAAAAUAUGUCUCAUAUUAAGAGGUGAGUGUGUAUAUAUAUAUAUAUAGUUAGUUUAAUCCUCGAAUAGAUUGUUGACUCUUGGCUCAAGCUUCCUCUCUCUCUUUCUAUUUCUACCUUUCUCUUUCUUCUUAUUCGUUCAUCUUCGUCUUCGUUUCCCUUUUGGUCUUGGUAAGAUCUAAAAACAAAACCCUAGAAAAGAGAAGAGCCAGAGGAGAAUCAAAUAGAGGAUAAAAUCGAUGGGAAGAGGGAAGAUUGUGAUCCAAAGGAUCGAUGAUUCAACAAGUAGACAAGUCACUUUCUCCAAACGAAGAAAGGGUCUAAUCAAGAAAGCCAAAGAGCUAGCUAUUCUCUGUGACGCCGAGGUCGGUCUCAUCAUCUUCUCUAGCACCGGAAAGCUCUAUGACUUUGCAAGCUCCAGGUUCUUCUUCUCAAAACGAUUAAUUCUGAAUUUUUUACAUCUUCUUGAUUUCUCGGAUAGCGGAACUGUGUCUGUACGAUAUAUAAUUUUAUGCUAAGGUUUUGUUUAAAAGGCUAUAGGGAUAUUUCAGUGAAAUAUUUGUAACUGUGCGAUCUGUUCAUUUGUAGUAGAAAAAAUUUCGCAUCUGGCGGUCGGUAGAACAUGUUACAUUUUGCCAUAUGUACAAUAAGAUGUGUAUGUAUAGCCGACAACCUAUAUUUUUUACAACAAAGAAAUAUUAUAAUUGACUAGAAGUUUAAAGGAAGAAUGAUUCUUUUGAAGAUGGAAAAAAAGUAAUUCGAGAUAGUUUCUUUGCUUCAUAUCUGCUUGAUUAUUAAGUUUACACUUCGGUAUUUUUUUAAAAAAUACUUUCUUAACAAACAUGUGUUUUGUGUCUUUGCACAUGUAUAUAUAUAUAUGUAUGGAUAUUAACUUAUUGCUAAGGCUCAUUGUUUAGUUUUUCCAAAAUUAGAAUUAAUGAUUCAUAAGUAGAUGACACAAUAGCUGAGUGCGAUCUUGCUCAACCAUCAGUACUGGAAAGCUAAAAAUAAGUUCUUCAGAUAGCACAAUAUUGAAAGAUUGGUAUGGAGAAGGAAUUAAUUUCUCAAAACCAAUAUGCUUAAACAUGAUUUAAUCUAAUCAAAUAACAAAUUAUCUAUUUAUGCUCAUAAACAUUUACAUAUUUUUGAGUUAGAUCCUAUAUAUCAUGACAUAAGGAUCAUAAUUAACUCUGUAAAUUUAAAGCUGUAUAAGUUAACUAUGUAUAUUUAACGCAUAUAAUUAUGUAUAUUUAACAUUGUAUAACUUAACUUUGUAUAUUUAACGUUAUAUAUGCAGGAUUGUUAUUAUUACAUUUCAGUCUAAAGAAUAUAUUAAUUUCUUAUUUUUGAAUUUUUUUGUUAUAGUAUGAUUACAUAUUUAUCAGUGUCAAACAAACAAAUAAAGAGUUCUAUAAUGUGAAACAUCUUUUUCUUGAUAAUUUCCUUCAUUAUUUAGUGAAGAAUAGUACAAUACUUCUUAUGUGAGGGAUUUUUCAACCUUGGCGAGCAUUGUUAAGUCUGCAUUUUUCAUCUUCUUUAACCAUUAUCCCCAUAUAUAUCAUAAAGUUCAUGAAUGAUGGAACUUAGCAUAGUUUUGAGUUUACCAUUCUUGAAACUUACACACAGCCAGGAUAUAUAUGCCUUGACACGUUAUUGUUUCUUGGAAUUAGUAUAGUAAGUGUGCCAUAUAUGUUGAUGCAUUACAUUUAUGACCGAGCCUUAUUAUUAGUUUCUUUGUUGUUUCUGUAAUUUCUUUCUAUCUCACAUAACUGGAUCGUUUUAAAGCUCUUGGUUAAUUAUCUCAAAACAAUUUUUUAAAGCAAUUUUUCUUGUUUAUUGAUAAUGGAACAUCUAUAUAGUUUCUUUAGUUCUUAUAACAAGUAUGUGAGUAACAAAAUCAUAUUACUGAGUGAAAGUUUAAUUAUAUGUUCUGUGGAAUGUGUAUGUGUACUUAAUUAUAUACAAGUCUGUGUGUAAAUACCUUAUAUCUUGCCACUACAAAGACUGAAAAGUCUAUAGCACAUAAUUGUAUGAAACUUCAAGGCUAUGUGUUUUUUCUUUACGUAUAUCUGAAAGCUUUUUAGUGGAGGAGUCGAAUUAUAAACUUCAUAGGAAAUAUCUUAUAUACUCUUUAGUGUGAUAGAUGAUAUGAUUUGGGUGAAUCAUAUAUAUACCAUGAACAAGGUACUAAUAUAAAAUCUUUUAAAAUAGCAUGAAGUCAAUUAUUGAUAGAUAUAACAAGAGCAAGAUCGAGCAACAACAAUUAUUGAACCCAGCAUCAGAAGUCAAGGUAUAAAUAUAUUGACAAAUAUGCAAAUAUAUACAAAUUAUGCAUAUACAUGUAUUGAAAUGAGAUUUGAUUUACUGAGUUCUAAGUUUGAUAAGUUAUUUGUGUUGUGUGUUAUAGUUUUGGCAGCGAGAAGCUGCUGUUCUUAGGCAAGAAUUGCAUGCUUUGCAAGAAAAUCAUCGGUAUUGCCUUGGACUUUUGUAACAUAUAUAUUAGAUAUAAUCUCUGAUCAACAUAAAUAGAUGGAAAGGCAAGUACAAGGAAAGGGAAAUGAAGAAACUUGUGCUUAUAGAUUGUGUUUGGUACGGAGCAGGCAAAUGAUGGGAGAACAACUAAAUGGUUUAAGUGUUAACGAGCUAAACAGUCUUGAGAAUCAACUUGAGAUAAGUUUGCAUGGAAUUCGUAUGAAAAAGGUACAUAAACACAUAUACUCUCUACCUUGUAUUAUAUGCUCUGGAGUGUAUAUUGCUCAAAAGAUUGACAACAGAACACAAUGGAAUUCAAUAGAACCGAUUGCUUUUUCGGAUUCACAGGAACAAAUGUUGACUCAAGAAAUCCAAGAACUAAGCAAAAAGGUACACAAUGAGAUAUAUGCAAACACCUAAUUUAUAUCUCUUACCCCUAUAUGUAAACUCCCCAAAAGAACACAAUUAAUUAGUUACAAAUCUGAAUUACUAUAUAUGGGAUUUUCUUUGAUUGUGUGGUGCAGAGGAAUCUUUAUUCAUCAGGAAAACCUAGAUUUGUCUAGGAAAGUACAACGGAUUCAUCAAGAAAAUGUUGAGCUCUACAAGAAGGUGACAAACAUGUUCAUAUAUAUACAAAAGUCCAUGUGCUUAGAAUAAGAGCUUUGAAGUGAUGGCCUUCAACGUUUCAGGCUUACGCUGCAAGCACAAACGGGUUUAUACAUCGUGAACGAGCAGCUGUCACUGUCACGGAUGAUGAAUCAUCACAGACUCAGAUUCGGCUGCAACUAAGCCAACCCGAGCAUUCCGAUUACGAGACCCCGCCAAGAGCAAGCGAAUAACAUUAAGGUAGAAUUUAUAUUAAUUUGAUCUUUGACGACGUUACACAAAAGCCCUCUAUGCAUUUUUAUAUUAUGUAACACUCGUUUAAAGUUUUUCAGAGAUUGAAGUUCGAAGAUACUGUGAUGUUGAAGACCAAAUCCAAAGACUAGGUUUGAAUAAGGGUACUGAACUGGAAGCCCAAUAAAACCAAGCCACAUGAUAAGCAGCAUGGUUCUUCUAUCAUCAAUUAAUCAUGUUUUUCUUUCUUUGUGCAUUUCAAUUUGAAAUAUAUAUAUAUAUAUAUAUAUAUAAGUAAAAGCAUAUAUAAUUAAAAUCCGGUGUUUAAUUUGUUAUAUACUCAUCUUGAGUAUUAUUAUUGCCUUUGUUUAGAAUCAUAGACUCGUUAAUCAAAAAACAUAAACAAAAGUAGUAAAUAUGUUUAUGUUUCUAAUUACCCUAGUUUAGACAAUUAUAUGUCAUACUUUCUAUUUUAAACCGGUUUGGAAACUACGUAUUAGGGGUGACCAAAUCGGUUAUUGUUGACCAGAAACCAUAAAGGUUGAGUCUUUAAUAAAGGAAACACAAAUCAUCAUCAUCGUCACCAAAUCAUCAUCACAAUUCACAAUUCACAAAGGUUGGUGGUGGAGAGUAUCCCACUGAGACAGUGACCUGAGAUAACGACAAAGAAACAACAACAAAAAAAUAAAAAUAAAAAUUUCCAUUUUUUUUUCGUAAAAAAGAGGGAAAAAUUCGAAAAUUGCUGCAGCCACCAAAAGCUCAGCCAAAAGCAGAGGCCACAAUCCUAUCUUCACCUCUCCUUGAGGAUAAACCCAAUUUUGGGGUUUUUUUUGUUUCUUCUUUCGUCUAGGAUUCAAAUCAUCUGUUUCUAGGGUUCCAAACCAGAGAGAGAGAGGUUUAGGAAAAAUGGCUAUGGCGAUGGCUCUUCGGAGGCUUUCUUCUUCAAUUGACAAACCUAUUCGUCCUCUUGUUAGGUCCACUUCAUGCUUCAUGGUAAUAACCCCAAAGUUUCCUCCUUUCAUCGGAUUGGAAAUUUUCGAUUUUUUUUUUUUGGGCCUCUGAUUUGUUGUUGUUUUGUUUGCAGUCUUCUUUGCCCAGUGAAGCUGUUGAUGAGAAGGAGCGAUCUCGUGUCACUGUGAGCUUUAACAAAAUCCAAUCUUUUUAUUUGUCUCUUGGUGGUUUUAUAGUUUUACUUGUAGUUGAAGCAAUGGUUUUGAUUGUUGAAGUUCUGUGUCUAUGUUUCAAAUUGCGGGUUUGAAUCUUUUAAACAUAUUUUGUCUGUAUACGUUCGUUGCAGUGGCCAAAACAGCUUAACGCAUCUCUAGAGGAGGUUGAUCCUGAGAUUGCUGACAUUAUUGAGCAUGAGAAAGCUAGGCAAUGGAAGGUUUAUUAUUAGUCUCUCUUUACUUACUACUCUGUAUCUGAGAUUUUAGAUUAAUCCCAUCUUAAAUCUUGUUCCUUGAUUCGUUAUUGUGAGUUGGGCUGAUCUCUUUUAAUGCUUAUCUUAUCAAGGGACUUGAACUUAUUCCAUCUGAGAACUUCACAUCUGUGUCAGUGAUGCAAGCUGUUGGGUCUGUGAUGACUAACAAAUACAGUGAAGGGUAUCCUGGUGCGAGAUACUAUGGAGGAAAUGAGUAUGUUCAGGAAUUUUCAGUCUUUCAUUUUGACACUGAUACUUAUUACAGUUUCAGAUCUUAGACAUGAUGCUUGACCAAUCUAUGUAAUAACAAUUGAAAUCUCAUGUACCUUUUGGUUUUGUAGGUACAUAGACAUGGCAGAAACCUUAUGCCAGAAGCGCGCUCUUGAAGCUUUCCGUUUGGAUCCUGAAAAGUGGGGAGGUAAUUACUCAUUCCAAGUAUAUGAGAAACAAGAAAUCUGAAUUUUGUAGAACUAGUUCUUAUGCAUUUUCCCGGUAAAUGAUCUGAAUUCCAAUGGAAUGUGAUUGCUUUAUUAAUCCUUUGAUGGCUUAUUCCUGUCUUGUCGUUACAGUGAAUGUGCAACCAUUGUCUGGAUCUCCUGCCAAUUUCCAUGUCUACACUGCAUUGUUAAAGCCUCAUGAGAGAAUCAUGGCACUUGAUCUUCCUCAUGGUGGUCAUCUUUCUCAUGGUUACCAGGUAC